rnacentral:rRNA from 1 species
CUACGGGUGGCAGCAGUGGGGAAUAUUGGACAAUGGGCGCAAGCCUGAUCCAGCAAUACCGCGUGUGUGAAGAAGGCCUGCGGGUUGUAAAGCACUUUCAAUUGUGAAGAAAAGCGAGAGGUUAAUAGCCUUUUGUCUUGACGUUAACUUUAGAAGAAGCACCGGCUAACUCUGUGCCAGCAGCCGCGGUAAUACAGAGGGUGCGAGCGUUAAUCGGAAUUACUGGGCGUAAAGCGUGCGUAGGCGGUUUAGUAAGUCAGAUGUGAAAGCCCUGGGCUCAACCUGGGAACCGCAUUUGAAACUGCUGAACUAGAGUGUGGUAGAGGGAAGUGGAAUUCCGGGUGUAGCGGUGAGAUGCGUAGAUAUCCGGAGGAACACCAGUGGCGAAGGCGACUUCCUGGACCAACACUGACGCUGAGGUACGAAAGCGUGGGUAGCAAACAGGAUUAGAUACCCCCGUAGUC